rnacentral:lncRNA from 1 species
CAGUGAUUCUGUAUCUUUUGGAGUUGCUUGAAGAGUUAGCUGCCUUUAGAAACAACCUUCAAAAGAGAAAAGGAAACAGAAAGGUUAACCCUGAGGAAUGUUGCAAAACUCAUAGAUCAACCAGGGCCAGAGACACAUAAGCUUCCAACCAGAAGCAUGAGGUGUCACAGAAGUGCGUACAAGGCAUACAAGGAUGUCAGAGAGGAAGGGUGCAAUGGCCCAGCUAAUGGGAAG